UAGCCGUAGCAGCAGGGCGUGCCUUGCUCACAAGGCACGCACCCCCCCCUCCUCCUCCAGCACCCACACCCACACACGCGAGCGCGCAGAGUCACCACUAUCGUCACCAUCGUCGUCAUCUUUCUCGGCGCUCUCGUUAAGCUGUGCCGAAACACAAAAUCGAGCCGACAUCGCCGCCGAAAGCACGCACCCACCAACCUGCACACACACACCCACACCCACCUGCACGCUUUUGGGGAGGUUUCUUUUUGUUUCAAGUUAUUUUCCAUCUGCACCACCGCACGCGCAUGCGGCGACUGAGGCAACCAAGAAAGAGCUUGCUCCUGCACCAGCGGAAGUCCGGCGACCCCCUUGCCACGUCGGUGAGAGUGCGCGCGCUAGCGGUACCGCCCCCUUCCUAACCCCAGCACCCGCACUCGUGCGUCACCACCGGGCAGUGGAAAAGCCCGACGGGUUCAUGCGGCCCCCCUUGACGCUUCGGUCUUCGCCGUCGAGACACCCACAGUGGGCUUGGCGCUGCCCGACACCGCCGCCGUCACUGCAAGCUGGUUCUUCUGCGUACGAGACGACCGCCUUGAGUAGGUACGCUGCCAUGGCCACGCCCACCGCUGUUGUAGCCGCUGCAUACUCGGGACGCUGCGCCAGCGCGUGUGCAGCGCCGUCGCGAGCCCAGAUAUCGUCCUCCUCGCUGCUGACGGCUCCAGUGGGCUCAAACGGAGCGCCGCUGCCGUGCGGUGACGGUGGAGACAACGCUGUCCGCGCGCACGUGGCGCGUGCCGCGACCACGAUGACGGCGGCGGCUUUUCUGCCGGGCAUCACGCGGCUGGACGGCGCUCUGCUCUGCCGCGAUGGCGGCGAUGAUGGUAGCUACUGGCACACGAGUGCUUGUCGGGGCGUGGCAAGGCUGCGAACGCUCGCCUUGGCGUCGACGAUACUUGGAGCGUCCGCUGGCCUUCCCGCGGCGUUGCCGCUCGGCCACGCAGCGCGACACGCAAGCACCUACACCGGACGUAGCGGCACCGGCACAGAGGCGUCUUUUCACGAGCCUUCAACGCAGUUGCACGCAGCGGCCGCCCCACACAGCCGCGGCCAUGUCGCGGAGGAAAGUGGCGACGGCGAGUCCGUGCAGACCACCUUCGGAUCGGCGCAUCAUCGAGGCCGCUCAGCACCGUCCGCCACAUCUUCUCGUUCUCCCUCCACGACGCCGCGCCACGCGUCUGCUAAAGCCGCUGUUACGCGUGGCGGGGGCAGUGACAGGGUCUCUGGUGCGGUGCUUGCGGCGGCCAUCAUGCGGCAUCACCGCCUUCACACAUCUCUCCACUACCUCGCCAUCUCCUCUGGCGUUGAGGUGCCGGAGUGCGCUGGCGGUGCCUACCACCUCCAAGAACGGCCACCGCUGCGCCACAGCGCCUUCGACACUUCUGCGGCUGCUGCCAGCGGUGACCGUGGCGGCUAUCUCACCCGCUCCCGCACCUGUGCUAACAAUGUGCGCAUCUCUGUAUUCCCCGCGGCGUCGUUGCGGCCUGCGCCCGGCACCGGGGGCGUUUCGUCCUCUUCUGCUCCCUCACCAGAUGCGUGGUCUUCAUCCACGUCGACGUCGUCGGCCACUGCUGCGCGCGCGUCGCCGACGGUGCUGCAUCGCGAUGCAGCGCACCUGCGCGCACAGCAAUACGAGCCCUUUGACCGCCUCCUGCACCGCUACCUCGAGCGCGGCCACGUGGCAUACAUCACGCAGCGACUCCUUCACCACCCUGAUGCCCCCGCGCCGGCCGUCCUCCUCGACACGAUCCUGCGGCAUCGGCUUCCCGCGCCGUCGUUUGUGUGCCAGGCGUUACUCGCCACGAUACACACGGCUCGUCGAGAUCGCAGCACAGCUGCCGCCGCGGGCUUAGCGCUGGACCGCGUUGCGGUGCGCCUGCGCACCGACGAGAAGGCGCGCCUGCUCUACCAGACUCCCCAGGUGCGGGCGCUGCUACUGGAGGCAACGCUGCAAGAGUCACUCUUCGACACCGCUGUCGAUGUCGUGACAGACAUGCCGGCUGAGUGGAUCACGCCGCAUGCGUGGUCGCAGCUGGUGGUGAUGGCGGGGAAGUCGAAGCUGCCGCACUCGCAGCUUCUGUGGCGGCUCUUGAGCCUGCGCGAAGAGCCUUCGUCGACGUUGCGGAGCUCUUCAUGUGAAACGCCGAUGUCUGUGCAUCCAGUUUUGACGCGAGCCGGUGAAAGUGCGCUCCUCGGAGCACUGCGCCAGCGUCCACUAAGCGCUUCCCCGAGUGCUGUGCACCUUCGCGACGUGGCGGCGACAGUGGCCGCCACCGCAGUGCCACAUGGGGCGCUCGACGCUCGCGCGUGCGCCACAGUCCUCGCACCUGCGAACGGUGCGAUCGGAAGUGCCGUCUUCGCCGACGCGACUGUCGCAGGCGAAGAGCUGCCUAGCGACGAGGGGGAUGAGGAAAGCGCGCAGCUAGCAUCAGGGGGCAGCGAAGACCAGCCGUCAGCUACACCGGUGACGGCGGUUGUGCCUGCGGGCAGCGCUGCAGGCGGUGGCUGCGGAGUCCGCUGGUGCGCGGUAGGAGCGGUGGAGCUCGGCUACGCAGUGGAGCACCACAACGGCGACACAACCCCUGCGGCAGGCGACUUCCGGGCUACCGGUGCAGCCGGCGCGCUCUACAGUCACUCGUCCUUCCAAGCAUUGCUGGCGGAUGUGGAGAGGGAGGGAGUGCAGGAGGGCGGCGCUGCCGCAUCGUCGCCGGCGGCUCGGGCGCGUACACUGUGGGAGACGACAGCACUGCGCAUGAUCAACUCGCGCCACGGCAUCGUCUACGGCCUCAACGCCACGAUGGCGGCGCAAGUGAUGCUGCGCUGCGGUGUCUCCUUCGCGGCGCAGGCCUCGCCGCUGCUGGCGUUGCACGUGCUGCGCCGUUACCUGCGUAGUUGUCAUCUCCUGCGCGAUCAGGUGGUGGCGGCACAACGCCUGGUGGAGGCCCAGCUCGAGGCGGCAGCCGAGGGCUCUAAGGACAGAGCCUCAAGAGCUGCCACUACCACCACAGCCUCGACGGAAAACCCGCCAAGAUCACACCACCACGGGGAGAAGGUGGCGGCCGCUGACCCCUACCCGCGCCUCUCGCGCGCUGUCAUGCCACACCCCGCGCCUUUCCUGAUCUUCUUUAAGGUGAUGCGUGAUGCGCGCGACGUGCUUGCGCACGCCGUCUACGGUGGCGACGAAGAGGACGAUGCGGUGACCGCGCUGUCCGCGGCGCGACGGUAUCGUGGCACAGCCGCCGCUGCCGCCGGCCGAGCGCACGCGUCUCUGCCGAUGAUGCACUGGGAGCUCGUCUGGCACACGUUCCAGCAGCUAAAUUGUGAGAAUCCGCACUGGUACACGCAGCUGGAUGUGCCGGAGGCGGGCGACCUGUGCCUCGACGCGAUGGAGGUGCUCUGUCACGGCGCGGAUCCGUGGAUGACGCUGAACGUUGCACGUCGCGUGUCGGCGCGGCAUAUCAUCGACGGCGUGGAGAUGUCGCUGUGGUUGCUAAAUCGCUUGGACCCGUCACAUCACACCGACGAGGCCCGCGAAGUGGCGCGCAAGCUGUUCCGCUGGCUGCUCGUUGACGUUGGCGUGCACGUGCAGCCGCCGCUGCAUCGCCACCUCGUCCCCGCCGCACGAGCGUUGAUUCGGCUCGGAUUGCAGGAGGAGCUGAGCACCCUGUACAACGCCGUGCUCGACAACGUCUUUCUGUUCACCUCAGAGCACCGCGACGCUUUCAUUCACGUGCUGCGCGACCUCAUCUGCCCCGCGUGCGCCAGCGUACUGCCGGAGGUCGACGUGUACGUCGACCGUGCGUGUCCGAACUGCAUGGGGGUCGUACCGGCGAAGGACGCCGACACCAUCCCGAGUUUUCGGCUGUCGGCAGAGCAUGUGGAGCGGCAGCGCGCGCAACGCAAGCAGCGGCGACAGAGGACUCGCCAGCGACUCUCGGCCAGUGUGCGUCGACUGCAGCAGGGCGCCGAGGGAUGGACGAGCAGCGACGCCGCACUGUGCCAUCCGCCACGCGACGCGGCUGAAAUUCUCCGGUGGCACCUUAAGCGUGACGGCACCGAGCAGGGAGGAGAGAACGGUGCACUUGACGUGCCGCUAUCGUCGUCGCUGCUAGUGGCCACCGGCGCCGCUGCAGAGGCGCCUUUAGUCCCUGGUGUCUCCGUGUCGACAGAGUUGGCGCUGUUCCCCGUUGCAGGCGAGGCGGCAAGCGGUGUGCAGGUGCUGGACGUUCGGGCAGCCAUGGAGGAGUCGUCGCGCCGGCUUGAGCUGCAGCGCGCCGCACGGCGGAACGUGCUGGCGCAACGCGGGGUGCGUGAUGUCGCAGACGACGGCGCCGCCGGCGCGGCAUCGCGCGUUGCCUUCGCGACACUUCCAACGACUCUGCCCGUCUCAGCACAGUCGCUGGAUUCGUCGACACUCAAGUACUUAUCCACUGCGGCGAACGCCGCUGCGGCAGCGGGGUCGACAUUGACGUCUAAGCAGGCUGUUGACGGCGCCUGGGUGUGCGUGUGGUGCCAUGAGAACAAUACCGAGUGGAGCAGUCGAGUGCAAUGCAGCGCGUGCGGGGCAGAAACCGGGCCCGCAGCGCCCUGGCGGGGCUUUGCGUACGCGGCAGCGAGCGGCGAUGCCAUGGAAGAGCUUCGCGGACGCAUGUCUAACUGCGAGGCGCGUCCAGUUGACGCGGUUGUGGCCGGCUACUUGCUGAUGUUGUACCGGCGCACCUUCCAGCUGCGUGCGACGCCGGCAGAUCAGGACCGCCUGCUGCGGCUGGUGGAGGUACUGUGUCGGCUGCAGGAGCGCGUGCUAGCCGGCUACGUGUACACGAGGUUCAUCCCUGUUUCUCAGCGGCGCCUCGGCAUUCCGCUGUCCUCACUGGCGCAGGCAUGUGGCCAGGAUAUGUCGCCUGCCUACCGGGCGCUAACGCAGAAAGACCUCACGCGGCCAGACGCGGACGACAUCUUCUUCGACGCUGUCUUCGGCGCGCAGACGUGCCGUGUCUGCUUUGGCCAGCACGACUGGCGCCUGUGCCCGAUUGUCACCCGAGACUUUGCCGCGUCGGCGUCGGCGGCCGGGGAGGGCCGUCCGCGCACCGCCAUCAGCCUCAGCCCGGAGGAGAAGCAGCGCGCUGUGCUGGAGCGACUGUCACAACGCAUCCAUCAAGCAGUCACGUCACUGGCGCCGUCCGCUGCGGAGCCCGAGUCUGCGGCGGCGUCGUCUUCUUCCCCGCCGAUGCUGCUGCCGCCGGGAAAGCCGAGUGCGCGGCUUGUCGUGGACGCCUACACGGCCUUUGUAUCCUCGCCUUUCCGCGAGAUCUUCGCCGAGCUGCACUCGUCCGACGCAAACCGUCUGUCGCUGCUUCUGAGCCGCGUGCAGCAGUACCGCCGCGCCGCGUUCGUCCUUUGCCACGUGCCGCCGCCGCAGCGCGCGACGGAGGCCUACCUGCGCAUGGUGCACUACUUCAACGUCACGGAGGCGGAGGCGCUAGCGCUGCUGGAGCAGCCGCCGACACCGACACCGACGACGCCGUCGAAGGGACCCACCGCCAGCGGCAGCAGUAGAAGCGGCCACCCCACCUCGGCAGCGAGGCAGGUCAACUUUGUCCAGGUGACGCAGACGUGCUGCAUGUGCCUUGACGCACGCCAUGCAUCACACACGUGCCCGCGCCUCGACGAGUGGCUCAAGGGGGUACAACGUCUGGCCCUGUCUGGCAGCGGCAGCACCAGCAGCGGAGCUGCUGGAGAGCCUUCGCGGUCACCCACUGCCGCGGCUGUACUCGACAUCGAGGGUGACGCGCGCCUGCGGCGGCGGCUGAAGGCGCAGGUGGACGGCUGGACCACGGCGGGGCCGGAGCGGCUGCAUGCCUUUUACCGGUACUUGAUUGCUCACGUUGAUCUUCUCCGGCCCGUGGCGUUCGCGUCUACCGGCGCUGGACAGCAACUGGCUCGCCGACGUGCCGACUUCGACGACCCGCUCGUGUACGCCGUGAACAAGACGAUAGCGAAGCUGUCCGCGGUGGGACAACGUAGUGAGACGUACCGUCUCUACGCUCACACGCCGGUGGAAUACGUGUCUACGGCGACGACGGCGACGGUGUUGCGCAUGAACGGCUUCUCGGACGAAAGUGUGCGGGUGUUGCUGACAUGCGCGUCUUCUUCCUCCACUGAAGGCACAGCGAUCGCAAGCGACAGCGACAGCUUUACCAGCUCGCAUUGCUCGUCUCUGAUGCAGCACGCCCCGGUCGCGGCUCGCGCGGCAGCUGUGCCGGUGCGACAGUGCUGCCUUAUCUGCUUCUCGCCCGAUCACGCUUUUGUGGAGUGUCCAGAGCUGGCGGCGGCGUCGACAGAGGUGGAGCGGCUGCUGCUCGUGCUACGCAACGUCGCCGGGAUCGCCUGCGUGCACGACGGCAUCGGUGCAGCCGCGGCGUACGUCUACAGCGAGUACAACCGCGGGCGGCUCUCGGCGGACAUGAUGCGCUCACACCCGGAGCUUGUGACGGAACUGCUGACGUUGACGCGCCGCUGCUUCGCCACGCGCCAGCUGAACCACGGCGUGCGAGUGCUGCGGCGUAUUCCAGUGGAAAUGGUGCCGCCCGACGCCGCCUACGUCGAUCUCUGGCGCGCGGCUGGACUGCCGGAGGCUGAGGUGGAGCAGAAGCAUGCGCAGCUGCUGGCCCUCUUGGACGCGGAGGCGGUGCGGCCGUCCAUCGACCCGCUACCACCGCGGCCGACCUACACGAACGCUUUUUUGUCGAAGCUGAGCCGCACCCUGCACGACGACUUGUGUAGGCACUGCUACGAGCACGGCCACACCAUCGCCACCUGCCCGCUCUUCCAUGCGGAAGUGAGUUUCGGCCGCGACUACGUGGCCGCGUACCGCAUGAGCAUGAUGUCGGAGCAGCUGGAUCGCGCCUGGCAAGAGGCGUACUUGCUGAAGCUCGUGGACUUCUUCGCCGCGCACUACCUCUUCAUGCCGUACCACAUCGCCGGCGUGGCGAACGCCCUGAACGCGAUUGCCUCCAUGUGGAGCUUCCGCGGCGAACCGGGCAUUGCGCUGCGCCAUCUGCUGCGCAUCCCGCCCGCCUACCGUCGCCGGCAAGCCUUCAAGCACGUACUGCACUGCCUGCGUGUGCCGCCGGCGGAGAUCACGAAGCUGCUGGGCGACUUCUACUUUGCCCCCGAUGGCAACGCCACGGCGGUGCAGCAGCAGCAGAAAGGUAGCGGCCCACACAGCACAAGUAGGUACUACGCACAACAGCAGCAGGAGGUGGUGAUGGCACAGCAUCUGCUGCUGCCAAAGCCCGCCAUUCGCGAUGUGGCGCGCAAGCAGAUCUUCGAUCAGGUCCCGGCGGCGAUCGCGGCGCUGGAGGAGAGCGAGGAGCGCAUGGCGGAGAUCCGUACCCGUCACGAGCGGCGUGGCGAAGGCGGUGGCAGCAUCACCGCGGAGGUGCGAGAGUGUCUUCUUCGCCAGCAGAAAAGCGAACAGCCGGGCCGGCGUUCUGCAGAAAUGGGCGACGCCGACUUGCCGCACGCCGCGGCGUCCUUUCACGCCCCCGCGCUGCGGCACGUCAUGCAGAGCGGCGACAUUGCUCAACUGCGUGAAGACUUCGACCCGAUUCUGUCCGAGCUGGAGGACGCCGUUGGCAUGAAACUCGGCAGCCGCCACACGCUCUUCACAAGCACCGUCGACAUAUUGUCCGCUGCUACUGCUGCGGCUGCCGCGUCGAACCCGACGCCGGCACCGCCGUCACCAUCAGCGCUCGCAAGCUCGGCUUCGUCCAGUGCGAGCACCAGCGAGAGGAGUGGCAUAAAUUCGACUGCGUCGUCGGCGGCAGCGCCCUCGUCGCCGACCUUCUCGCAGACACCCGAGGCGGAGGUAGUGACGGAGGUGCAGACGCGCCACGCUCAGCCGCGUCGCCCCGGCUCCUCGGGAGACCGGUCGCACAGCUCCCGUCAGCCAAGCGCCACCAAGGCGCCCACGACUUCGUCCGCUGCCGCUGCUGCCGGUGCGGCAUCGUUCUCAGAGAGGAUCCAACAUCAGGCGGGAGAGGGUGAUGCUUCUGAACCCGUGGGUGCGUCUCCAGGGCGCAGCAGCGGCAGCAAAGACAACGACCGUGGCCGUGGCAACAUGAGCGGCAACGGCAGCCGCGCUGGUGAUGGGCGGAAUGAGCGCCGCGACGCUCGCGGCUGGCACAGCAAUCGCGAACGAAACCCGCGACAUCGAGGCGGCAGCCAGUCGCCGUCGCACGCCUACAACCACGACCGCGGCGGCCGCUCCCGCCAUCACGGCAACCACCGCAAUCGCAGCGACGCCUCGUAGGGUAACGAACAGCAGAAAGCGAGCGACGCCACUCAGGUGAGACGGGCGCGCGCCUUGACGACUCGUAAGUCGGCCUGCACAGACACAGACACAGGCGCAUAUAUAUAUAUAUAUAGGUAGUUAGGCAGGUAGGCGGAUCGAAAUGGGUGCGCAGGCACCACCUCGUCACCGUCACCAUCUUCCUUUCUCUGUGUGUGUGUGUGUGUGUGCAUGCAUGCGCUGCUAACGGGAAAAUAAAAUAUAUUCGUAAAUCUCGUGUGUUUCAAUGAUCCCUAACCCU
rnacentral:misc_RNA from 1 species